ensembl:lncRNA novel transcript
GCUGGGUAAUGACAGUUACUUUUCUGUCUAAGUGGACACCGAUCUUCCCCAUUUGGCAAAGAGUCAUUAAGGGGCCACUCUUACUCAUGAUGCUGUGAGAUAUUUAACACUCUGUUGCCCUGGAGAGGACAGUCUAGUAGAAGUUAUAUGUGGCCUGACAAAGCCUGCCCCUCCAAUACCCCUGUUAUGCAGAGCUGGUCUCUGAUGAAAGGCUGAACAAUUGCAGGGAGGUCAAGGAGCCUCCUAGCAGGAGACAUUAUUAGAACCUUCCUGAUGGGUUAGGAUAGACCCCACAAGAAGCCUGGAGGAGAAAAGGACAUCAAAAAUUCCAAAGGGGAAACUCACCAUGAGAAAAGGGACAGUCUAGACUGAUGAUCCAGUGUUACCAGCAGGAUUAAGGGUACAGAGGUGUGAGAAGGCUGGUCCCAUGUAUCCCAUGGCUGAGACUAGAAACUCUUCUGGUUGUGGGUGUGAUUUGAGAACAAUGACUGAGCACUAUGAACUAAAAGAGCUGUAAUCUUGAAGUCCAAGUCCUAGGUCCAUGAAGAAGACCUAAGUCAGUGAGAGAAUCCCUGCAGCAGUGGGGAAGUGGCUGCUGGCCUGUGUAGAGCCAGUUUUCAAUAUUACCCCACAGGAAGAAGCAGCAAUAUUGGCAGACCACUUGGACUGCUCAGUUUUUUCUCCGCUUGCUUUUAGAACUGGGACUUAGCCCUUUUGGAAUGAAUGAAGACCAGAGUGUUCUUGGCAAUCUUGGAUGUUUAGAAGAGACCUGCGGUCAAGAAGACUGCCACCUAGUGGGUAUGACAAGACUUAGGUAUAGAAAUCAUCUGGAGAAAAACACAAGCAGCACAUAACCAAAUGUUUAAUCCACAUGACUCCAAGACACCUGGGUUUAAUUCUACAAACAAGUACAAAGGCCUACAAAAAGCUAGGCUUUAAGCAGAGUACUUGCAGGGACAUUAAUGGAGUAGAAGAACUAAAGGAGGUAAAGAUUUUUCUAUCAAUGACAUAUAUGCCUCAGAUAAUCCAAGAUGACUGAGAAGAGAGGUGCAAUGUUGUAGGCCCAAGAUGACACUGCUCACUUUUUGACGUGCUAGGCCCAUUCAUUUCUUACACCUAAAAUUCCAUCGUCUACAAGCCAACAGUCUUGCGUGGUGAGAUGUGAAUAAGUCCUAUGCAGUAAGUCUUCACGCAUUAAAGAAAAUGAGAAUCAGAGGUCACAAAGACAGUUGUAGC